GCCAUAGUCGUCAUUUCCAUUUGGAAGUUCAACCCCUCUACCUGUGCAUCUUUUACAGCCAUGUAUAUGCACACUGCACUCUUUGUCUCUCUCAGUCUGGUCUUUUUCUGUUCUCUCUCUGUUACUGAUGUGCUGCUGCUAUAUAUAAAAAGGGGGACGGAGAGAGUAACCGCACCUCCACACCUCGUCCCAACUACUGACUGAACCCCAUGCCUUCUCCUUCCCAAUCUCUUUUCUCUCAACCGACCAGGGAAAGGAAAGUAGUAUAAAGAGCCCCCCACCAUUGCUGCCCUUCACUUCAUUCCAACUAUUCUUUUUCUGAAUAAGAGAGAAGUUCCACUGGCGUCACUUACUUCCCCUAUCUGCAGCGGCAUGUUUCUGUUUGUUCUUCUUUGCUUGCUACCGUGUCCGCCACUCCCCUUCCUUCCUCAUGCUGUAAGUUUGCGUAUGCGAAGAAGCACAAUCAUACUGUUAAUAAAGGUGGCGGAGAUGGUUAGCGGGCCGGAGAAGGAGAUCGUUGGGCUUGUCCACGAGUGCAUCGCACCGUGGCCCGAGGCAACCCUCUUGCCUUGUUAUUACCCUCACCCUCGAAGCACCACACCGCCCCCAUCUAUGCGAAGGUGGACCUCCGCGGCUCCGCCUGUUGCCGGUGACUCUCACCACACGUUAAUCUUCCCCAUCACAAUAAUUACUGUCAUUAAUACUAAUCUAAUCGAGUGACAUCCUUGGCGAAGGGGGCUCGCACUGAGGCUGGUGCAGCGGAUGGAGGAGUGGUCUAAGGAGAAGGGGGCGGGGUACGCGUACAUGACGCCGGAGAAGGACAACUAAUCGUCUUUCCGCCUCUUCACUGGGCGGUGCGGUUACUCCAAGUUCCGCACCCCCGCCAUCCCGGUGCACCCCGUGUUAGCCCCCACCGCCUUCCCCUUCCCCCACGCGUCGCCAUCCUCCGCCUCACCCCCGCCGAUGCCCAGGCCCUGUACCGCCGCCGCUUCGCCGCCACCGAGUUCUUCCCCCAAACAUCGACAUCGUCCUCACCAACCCGCCCUCCCUGGGUACCUUCCUCGUUGUUCCUCCUUCCCUCGUGAUCCCGUGAACACGCACACGUGAACGACUGCGCGUGGGCCCUGUCCCGCAUUUCCCGUGAUCCCUCCCAUCCGUGAACUCCGUAACAGGGCGUGGGGGAUUGUACCUCAGGUUAAUCUAAUCUAAUAUAAUCGAGUGGCAUCGUUAGGUCCCGUGGGACGACGGAGAAGGACACCGUGACGUCGACAACCUCCCUCGGCACCUUCCUCGCCGUCCCUCCUUCGCUAGUGAUCCCGUGAACACCCACCCGUGAACGACCACGUGGGCCCUGUCCCGCAGGUCAUCCCUCCCACCCGUGAACUCCGCAACAAGGCGUGGGGGACCUCGGCUCCCGAGCGGUGGCGGCGUGCGAGCCGCUCUCCCAAUCACUGUCUUUAAUACUUCCUCGCCGUCCCUCCUUCCCCCAUGAACACGCACGCGUUAACGCCCGCACGUGGGCCCUGUCCCGCAGGUCGGUCCCUCCAACCCGUGAACUCUGUAACAGGGCGUGGGGGAUUGCAUCUUAGGCUAAUCUAAUCUAAUCUAAUCGAGUGGCAGACGAUGGAGGCGUGAUCUAAGGAGAAGAGGGCGGAGUACGCGUUCAUGGCGACGGAGAAGGACACCGUGGCAUCGACGCCGUCCUCGUCAACCCGCCCUCCCUCGGCACCUUCCGCGCGGUGGACCGGGCGCCGCCGUGGCUGCGCAUCCCCCGCUGGAGCGGCUCGCACGCCGCCACCACUCGGCAGCCGCGGUCCACGACCUGUUGUGCACGUGACGGAGUUCACGGAUGGGUGUGAGGGAUCACGAGACCUUCUUGCGGGGCAGGAUCACGAGACCUGCAUGCGGGGCAGGAUCACGAGACCUGCAGCAGGUUCACUCGUCCUCUUGCGGGGCAGGAUCACGAGACCUGCAGCAGGUUCACUCGUCCUCUUGCGGGCAGGAUCACGGGGCAGGCUCACGAGACCUGCAGGCAGGAUCACGAGACCUGCUUGUACGAGAUCUGCCGGACGCGACGUGGGCAGACAACGGAGACGACGUGGUGGCUGUCGACCAUGAGGUUCCACUUCAGAGACGCGAUUGAUGCGGGACCCAUAGGACCGACGCUGAACAUUAGCGCAUCGCACGAAGUAGCUCACGUUGUUAUCGCGGGUCACGGGUGGUCACGGGUGGGCUGGCACUGUCAGCUCACGGGUGGGCUGGUUUUGAGAGGGAGUAGAUCGAACCAUUGUCUAUAAAAUGAUACUAAUAGUACAACAACGAGUACGAGUUGUGAAAUAGUAGCGUGCGAAGGAUGGCUGGUGUGAUGCUAUUUAUUUUUAUGUUGUUUAUAAUGAUUAUUUUAAUGUUUUUUAUUGGCGAAGGUAAAGAAUGCUGUGUCCAAAAACUACCGUGUUGUCCUACAAAUCCAGCGUCGGUCAAUGGCACUAUGUAGUUUAUUAUCAUCUAAUCCUCCUUGUGAUUAACUUCUUGGAGUUGUACUUUAAUUUUGUAAUAUAUGGCUGUGAUUUAAGCGUUUUACUCUGUAUAUUGAUACUAUGAAUGGAAUGAAACGAGGAGGUUAAAUCUG